AUACGGAGGGUGCAAGCGUUAUUCGGAAUCACUGGGCGUAAAGGGUGCGUAGGCGGUUUGAUAAGUCUGAUAUGAAAUCCUAUGGCUCAACCAUAGAACUGCAUUGGAAACUGUCAGACUAGAAUACUGAAGGGGCAGAUGGAAUUAGUGGUGUAGGGGUAAAAUCCGUAGAUAUCACUAGGAAUACCGAAAGCGAAAGCGAUCUGCUGGGAAGUUAUUGACGCUGAGGCACGAAAGCGUGGGGAGCAAACGGGAUUAGAAACCCUAGUAGUCC
rnacentral:rRNA from 1 species